rnacentral:rRNA from 1 species
AUGUCCGACAGCGUGGGCCCGACGGCGGGGGCGGUAUCGCGCUGCCAUCGAUGGGGCAGCCGCCCUGCCGCUGCACCCGGAGCCCACCUCGCCCACCGCGCGCCGCACCACCACCACUACCUCUUCUCCAUCAAGCAACUCAACACACUGGGUGCCGCCGCCGUACUGGCCUUCUCGACCACCGUGCCGCUCUCGGAGAUCGCCUUUGGCGUCCUGCUCCUCCCCUACCUCCUCCUCCUGGCCACGCCCGCCUUCCCGCAGCGCCCCAGGAAGCCCAACCCGUCGCGCUUGUCUUUCGCGGCCUCGCACGCCUCCUCUCGCCGCGCACACCGUGGGUGGGUUCCUCGUCGGCGCCGUGCUCCCAGCGUUGUACAUCCUCGACGGCCUCACCACCGCGUUCCCGUGGCGGUUCUCGCUCCCCGUCAGGGCCGCCGUACCGGUCAUGUACAAUGCGAGCAGGAUGCUCGCGGCAGGGAGUGGCUCCGGCAGGAGAUGGAGGGGGCGACUGCGGCGAUGGGAAGGGAAGGGGGAGGGGGAGACUGCGGUGAUGGGAAGGAAAGGGAGCGGAGCGGCAGGAGGGUGGGUUGGUCGAGGAGUUCCCCGGCGGCGGCGGUGGCGUAG